rnacentral:lncRNA from 1 species
GUAAUUCGAGUUCCCUGUCCAUCGACUCCAAGUCCUCUCUCCUGCGCCGCAUGCUGCCUCGCGCUCCCUUUCCUUCCCCCUCUACCCCCUUCCGCGAUUUACUGUUUCCUCGCGCCCAACAGAAAUGGGCGACCGCAAGUCUUACUCUCGCCGGCGUUACAAAGAAAGGAAGGAGGAGACCUGAACAGUACAUCCGGAGAAUCCAGCAAAGCAUACUACGGCAUGAACGUGCAAGUGGACAGAAUUAAAACACAUGCCAGAAACACUAAUGGAUUCUAAACAAGAUGCAGUUUCAUUUCCUGAGCCUAUACGUGAUGUUUUUAACUGUUCUCCAGUUAAUAUGUCUCCAUUUCCAGAAAUCUAACAGGAGAAUCUCUGACUGCUUAACAGAUC